AUUAUUUAAUUUUUAAUACAGAGGACUUACUUAUUGUAUCAUUUCAUUUAUAUUACAGAGAGCUUAUCAGGUGGGGAAGCCCCAGGCCAUUUUACCACAAUAAGAACCUCUUCUUCUAAAAUAGAAAAGCAGAACAAGCACAUACAGUCAUGUUUUUACCCAGUAGUAAAAGUGAUCACACGCACCACACCUGAAGAAGAGCAGGGACCUGGGCAGAGACCUCUAAAAGCACAGCCUGCAGAUCAUAACACCCAAGGAUCAGAAGACGGAUGGGACAGAACAGA